GGGUCUCAUUCUGUUGCUCAAGUUGGAGUGCCAUGGUGCUAAUCAGGGCUCACUGCUGCUUCAAACUUGCUGAGCUCAGGUGAUCCUUCCACCUCAGCCUCCUGAGCAGCUGGGACUACAGGCAUGUGCCACCACACCUGGC